GGACCCGUAAUCCGGGUUGCGGACAGUGUCUGGUGGGUAGUUUGACUGGGGCGGUCUCCUCCUAAAGAGUAACGGAGGAGCACGAAGGUUGGCUAAUCCUGGUCGGACAUCAGGAGGUUAGUGCAAUGGCAUAAGCCAGCUUGACUGCGAGCGUGACGGCGCGAGCAGGUGCGAAAGCAGGUCAUAGUGAUCCGGUGGUUCUGAAUGGAAGGGCCAUCGCUCAACGGAUAAAAGGUACUCCGGGGAUAACAGGCUGAUACCGCCCAAGAGUUCAUAUCGACGGCGGUGUUUGGCACCUCGAUGUCGGCUCAUCACAUCCUGGGGCUGAAGUAGGUCCCAAGGGUAUGGCUGUUCGCCAUUUAAAGUGGUACGCGAGCUGGGUUUAGAACGUCGUGAGACAGUUCGGUCCCUAUCUGCCGUGGGCGCUGGAGAACUGAGGGGGGCUGCUCCUAGUACGAGAGGACCGGAGUGGACGCAUCACUGGUGUUCGGGUUGUCAUGCCAAUGGCACUGCCCGGUAGCUAAAUGCGGAAGAGAUAAGUGCUGAAAGCAUCUAAGCACGAAACUUGCCCCGAGAUGAGUUCUCCCUGAGACUUAGAGUCUCCUGAAGGAACGUUGAAGACGACGACGUUGAUAGGCCGGGUGUGUAAGCGCAGCGAUGCGUUGAGCUAACCGGUACUAAUGAACCGUGAGGCUUAACCUUACAACGCCGAA
rnacentral:rRNA from 1 species